UUGACAUCCAGAGAAUUUAGCAGAGAUGCUUUAGUGCCUUCGGGAACUCUGAGACAGGUGCUGCAUGGCUGUCGUCAGCUCGUGUUGUGAAAUGUUGGGUUAAGUCCGCAACGAGCGCAACCCUUAUCCUUUGUUGCCAGCACGUAAUGGUGGGAACUCAAAGGAGACUGCCGGUGAUAAACCGGAGGAAGGUGGGGAUGACGUCAAGUCAUCAUGGCCCUUACGAGUAGGGCUACACACGUGCUACAAUGGCGCAUACAAAGAGAAGCGACCUCGCGAGAGCAAGCGGACCUCAUAAAGUGCGUCGUAGUCCGGAUUGGAGUCUGCAACUCGACCCCAUGAAGUCGGAAUCGCUAGUAAUCGUAAAUCAGAAUGUUACGGUGAAUACGUUCCCGGGCCUUGUACACACCGCCCGUCACACCAUGGGAGUGGGUCGCAAAAGAAGUAGAUAGCUUAACCUUCGGGAGGGCGUUUACCACUUUGUGAUUCAUGACUGGGGUGAAGUCGUAACAAGGUAGGCGUAGUGCU
rnacentral:rRNA from 1 species